rnacentral:rRNA from 1 species
GAUGAACGCUGGCGGUAGGCCUAACACAUGCAAGUCGAACGGCAGCACAGGAGAGCUUGCUCUCUGGGUGGCGAGUGGCGGACGGGUGAGGAAUACAUCGGAAUCUACUCUGUCGUGGGGGAUAACGUAGGGAAACUUACGCUAAUACCGCAUACGACCUACGGGUGAAAGCAGGGGACCUUCGGGCCUUGCGCGAUUGUAUGAGCCGAUGUCGGAUUAGCUAGUUGGCGGGGUAAAGGCCCACCAAGGCGACGAUCCGUAGCUGGACUGAGGGGGUGAGCAGCCACACUGGAACUGAGACAGGGUCCAGACUCCUGCGGGAGGCAGCAGUGGGGAAUAGUGGACAAUGGGCGCAAGGCUGAGCCAGCCAUACCGCGUGGGUGAAGAAGGCCUUCGGGUUGUAAAGCCCUUUUGUUGGGAAAGAAAUCCAGCUGGCUAAUACCCGGUUGGGAUGACGGUACCCAAAGAAUAAGCACCGGCUAACUUCGUGCCAGCCGCCGCCGUAA